AAUAACGCUGGCGGCGUGCCUAAAACAUGCAAGUCGAACGGGCGAGCCCGACGGAUGUCGGGAACUACUCGCUAGUGGCAAACGGGUGAGUAACGCGUAGGAAUCUGCCUCGAAGUUUGGGAUAAGCCUGCGAAAGCGGGUCUAAUACCGAAUGUGGUGCACCGACUUUGGUCGGUUCAUCAAAGCCUUACGGCGCUUCGAGAGGAGCCUGCGUCCUAUCAGCUUGUUGGCGGGGUAAAAGCCCACCAAGGCUAUGACGGGUAGCUGGUCCGAGAGGAUAACCAGCCACAGGGCCAAUGAGAUACGGGGCCCACUCCUACGGGAGGCAGCAGUUGGGAAUCGUUCGCAAUGGACGAAAGUCUGACGACGCGACGCCGCGUGUGGGAUGAAGCUCUUCGGAGUGUAAACCACUUUUCUGCGGGAAAAAGAUCUGAUGGUACCGCAGGAAUAAGAGGUUGCUAACUCUGUGCCAGCAGCAGCGGUAAUACAGAGACCUCGAGCGUUUUCCGGAAUCAUUGGGCGUAAAGCGUCCGUAAGUGGUUUUAUAAGUCGAACUUAAAAUCCGGUGGCUCAACCACCGACCUGGGUUUGAUACUGUAAGACUUGAGUAUUGGAGAGGCUAAUGGAAUUCCCGGUGUAGCAGUGAAAUGCGUUAGUAUCGGGAAGAACACCAAUUGCGAAGGCAGUUAGCUAUUCAAUUACUGACACGCAGGGACGAAAGCGUGGGGAGCGAACGGGAUUAGAUACCCCGGUAGUCCACGCUGUAAACGAUGGGUACUAGGCAUUGGAGCCUUCGACGGCUUUAGUGUCGCAAGCUAACGCGUUAAGUACCUCGCCUGGGAAGUACGGCCGCAAGGCUAAAACUCAAAGGAAUUGACGGGGACCCGCACAAGCGGUGGAUCAUGUGGUUUAAUUCGAUACUGAACGAAGAACCUUACCUAGGCUAGAUAUCCUACUGCACGCCUCUGGAAACAGAGGAAGCCUUCGAGGGUGUAGGACUAGGUGCUGCAUGGCUGUCGUCAGCUCGUGGCGUGAGAUGUUUGGGUUAAGUCCAGCAACGAGCGCAACCCUUAUCCAUUGCUACCAUGUAGUUGAAUACUCACAUGGGCGACCUGCCGGCGUAUAGUCGGGAGGAAGGUGGGGAUGACGUCAAAUCCGCAUGGCCUCUUGAUGUCCUAGGGCCUACACGCAUGCUACAAUGGCCGGUACAAAGGGACCGUCAGCGACCCGUAGGGGAAGCAAAUCCAUCAAAGCCGGCCCCAGUUCGGAUUGAGGGCUGCAACUCGACUUCAUGAAGCCGGAAUCGCUAGUAAUCGCAGAUCAGAACGCUGCGGUGAAUACGUUCCCGGGCCUUGUACACACCGCCCGUCACAUCACGAAAGUGGGUUGCACUAGAAGUCGGUGAGCUAACCGCAAGGGAGCAGCCGCCCAAGGUGUA
rnacentral:rRNA from 1 species